AGAGCUCGGCGGCCGGCAGAGACGCGGGUGGCCAGCGAUGGCCGCGGAAGGGGCGAGCUGAGGCCCAGUCCACAGAGACUGACUGGGCUGAGGAUUGGAGACACUUGUCGGACGUAUACCGUGUGUUCCUCACCUGUCUGUUCCGCCGCCGCCGCCGUAAGGGACUCAUCAGUCAUCUAUCACCUGUCACCACCUGUGYAGUGGAGAUGGGGAGGCAGAAGAGAAAGCAAGUGGAUCCCACCUCAAGUGAUGAAAAGGGAUCACAUCCAGGAUCCCGUGUUACAUGUAAUUUAAUUGUCCUAUCUAAUCUCUUGCCUGUGGCAGAUUCAGAUUCUCCUUGUUUUUGAUGGCCUUGACAGUUUUGAGGAGUGCUGCUCAGGAAGGGAACAGAAGUGAACAUGGAAUUCAGCCUGAGAAGGAGGGAGGCGCAGAGGCUGUGUGCACGAGGCAGGUGGAGUGUCAGAGCACAGGCUCCUUUGUAUUUUCAAGUGAAAAUUCAGUGGUUUCUAAUGUAGUCGCAAAGGAAUGCGACUGCCAGCACUCUCAUUCCAGAACAUUCUCAUCUCUCCAGAAAGAAACCCUGUGUCCCUUAGCUGUCAUUCCCUGUUCCACCCCCCACAGCCACUAGCAACAGUUAAUCUGCUCUCUGACUCUCUGGAUUGCCUCUUCUAGAUACUUUGUAUAAAUGGAGUUUUAUAGUAUGUGGCCUCUUGUGACUAACUUUUUUUCACUAAGCAUAAUGCCCUCGGUGUUCAUCCAUGCUGU